rnacentral:rRNA from 1 species
AUUGAACGCUGGCGGCAGGCCUAACACAUGCAAGUCGAGCGGAUGAAGGGAGCUUGCUCCUGGAUUCAGCGGCGGACGGGUGAGUAAUGCCUAGGAAUCUGCCUGGUAGUGGGGGAUAACGUCCGGAAACGGGCGCUAAUACCGCAUACGUCCUGAGGGAGAAAGUGGGGGAUCUUCGGACCUCACGCUAUCAGAUGAGCCUAGGUCGGAUUAGCUAGUUGGUGGGGUAAAGGCCUACCAAGGCGACGAUCCGUAACUGGUCUGAGAGGAUGAUCAGUCACACUAGAACGGAGACAGGGUCCAGACUCCUACGGGAGGCAGCAGUGGGGAAUAUUGGACAAUGGGCGAAAGCCUGAUCCAGCCAUGCCGCGUGUGUGAAAAAGGUCUUCGGAUUGUAAAGCACUUUAAGUUGGGAGGAAGGGCAGUAAGUUAAUACCUUGCUGUUUUGACGUUACCAACAGAAUAAGCACCGGCUAACUUCGUG